GCUCCGGUAGCUCAAUUGGCUAGAGCGCUCGGCUGUUAACCGUGAGGUUAUUGGUUCAAUCCCAAUCCGGAGCG
rnacentral:tRNA from 1 species